UGGGAGGGAGGCCCUGUCAUGGCCACAGGGCCCAGCAGCCCUGGUCUAGUUUACUCAAGGCUUCUGUGCCUCUUCCCAGGGUUCUACCUGAUAUCACCUUCAGAGUUCGAGCGCUUUUCUCUCUCCACCAAGUGGCUGGUUGAGCCCCGGUGUUUGGUGGAUGCAACCAAAAUCAAGAGCCACAACUGUCCCAGCAAUGGCAAUGGCACGGCCCCCAGAAGGACCUCGGGCCAAGUCAGGAACUCAAGGAGCCAGAGUGAUGGUGAAGGUAAGACAGACCUCCCAGACUGCUGUGUGGGGCACACCUGGGACACUGCUGGUUAGACUUGGGGAAAGGGAGGAAAUGGCUGAGGGUGGGUGAGAGGGAAGAGCUUAGGCCGGGAGCAGGGAACGAAUGGUUUCCUGUAUCUGGGGCUCUGGCUUCCAGCACCCAUUCCCUUAACCCCUGUAAUGAGAGAGCUGGGCAGAGGGCCCGGGACAGGCCCACCUGACCACUCUGCCUUCCAGAGAAGAAGUCUGGCCCAGUGAUGGAGCACGCCCUGCUCAGUGACGAGUUGGUCCUGAAGGAAGUCCAGAGCACGCUGGAGGGGGACCGGGGGUAAGUCACUGCAGCACUGGGAAAAUGUGGGGGUGUGGAGGAUGG